GACGGAGGGGGCAAGCGUUGUCCGGACUCACUGGGCGUAAAGGGUGCGUAGGCGGUCCGUCACGUCGGGAGUGAAAACUCAGGGCUCAACCCUGAGCGUGCUUCCGAUACGGGCGGACUAGAGGUAUGCAGGGGAGAACGGAAUUCCUGGUGUAGCGGUGGAAUGCGCAGAUAUCAGGAGGAACACCGGUGGCGAAGGCGGUUCUCUGGACAUUACCUGACGCUGAGGAGCGAAAGCAUGGGGAGCGAACAGA
rnacentral:rRNA from 1 species